CCAAAGGCUCUUUUAAGAGACACCCACAUUGCAAUAAGAUUAUUCU
rfam:Salmo salar isolate Sally breed double haploid chromosome ssa27, whole genome shotgun sequence.